rnacentral:misc_RNA from 1 species
GCAAACUUGGUCAUUUAGAGGAAGUAAAAGUCGUAACAAGGUUUCCGUAGGUGAACCUGCGGAAGGAUCAUUAUUGAAAGAAAUUGAGUUCUACUGUUGCUGGCCUUCUGGGCAUGUGCACGUAGUUCUCUAUUCUAUUCAUCCACCUGUGCAUCUUUUGUAGUGGGCUCUUUCGGAUUGACCUCUGUGUUGGUUUUGAAAACCCACUAUGUUUUUAUAAACACCGUUAAAGCAUGUUUUAGAAUGUCUUUGUUUCAUUGGGACUUCAUUGGCCCUUUAAACACUACAUACAACUUUCAGCAACGGAUCUCUUGGCUCUCCCAUCGAUGAAGAACGCAGC